GUAGGGAAUAUUGGACAAUGGGGGCAACCCUGAUCCAGCGACGCCGCGUGAGUGAUGAAGGCCUUCGGGUCGUAAAGCUCUGUUGCAGGGGAAGAACACAAUGACGGUACCCUGCUAGAAAGGAUCGGCUAACUUCGUGCCAGCAGCCGCGGUAAGACGAGGGAUCCUAGCGUUGUUCGGAAUUAUUGGGCGUAAAGCGGGUGCAGGUGGCUUGGUAAGUCAGAUGUGAAAGCCUGGGGCGUAACCCCAGAAGUGCAUUUGAUACUGCUGAGCUUGAGUGCUGGAGAGGCUAUUAGAAUUCCUGGUGUAGUGGUGAAAUACGUAGAUAUCAGGAGGAAUACCGGAGGCGAAGGCGGAUAGCUGGCCAGACACUGACACUCAGACCCGAAAGCGUGGGGAUCAAACAGGAUUAGAAACCCGGGUAGUCC
rnacentral:rRNA from 1 species